rnacentral:rRNA from 1 species
AUUGAACGCUGGCGGCAUGCCUUACACAUGCAAGUCGAACGGCAGCACGGGAGCAAUCCUGGUGGCGAGCGGCGAACGGGUGAGUAAAGUAUCGGAACGUGCCCAGUCGUGGGGGAUAACGUAGCGAAAGUUACGCUAAUACCGCAUACGAUAUAUGGAUGAAAGCGGGGGAUCGCAAGACCUCGCGCGAUUGGAGCGGCCGAUAUCAGAUUAGGUAGUUGGUGGGGUAAAGGCUCACCAAGCCGACGAUCUGUAGCUGGUCUGAGAGGACGACCAGCCACACUGGGACUGAGACACGGCCCAGACUCCUACGGGAGGCAGCAGUGGGGAAUUUUGGACAAUGGGCGAAAGCCUGAUCCAGCCAUGCCGCGUGCAGGAUGAAGGCCUUCGGGUUGUAAACUGCUUUUGUACGGAACGAAAAGGUUUGGCCUAAUAAGCUGAGCUCAUGACGGUACCGUAAGAAUAAGCACCGGCUAACUACGUGCCAGCCGCCGCAGUAA